CCCCUCUCAGGAUUGUACCUGGAGAGUUUCCAGUACUCUACCAGUCUCGGCUAUGGGAAGGAGAGUCAAGCAGAGGCCGAACCAUUCCAUUCUUAGCUUGGGCAGUGUCUAGCAAGUGGAAGGCAAUCUGCUACAAAU
rnacentral:snoRNA from 1 species